AAACGCUUGAAGUCAGUCGUAUUGUCCAGGGAUCAACCUUGCUUUUGCUUGGUGUACUUCCUGUUCAAUAGGUCAGCAUCAAUUUUGACCAAGGGAAAAAGGCAGAGGGAAUGUGGCAUCUUCGGAUGUGUUAUAGCUUUCUGUCAUAUACAUUGGUUGGGAUUGAGGAACUCAGCACGCCGCAAGGCCGGGUUUUAACCACGUUCGUGCUUAGGAUGCUGGCAUAAUGGCUUUAAUCGA
rnacentral:rRNA from 1 species